rnacentral:rRNA from 2 species
UGGGGAAUAUUGGGCAAUGGGCGAAAGCCUGACCCAGCAACGCCGCGUGAAGGAAGAAGGCCUUCGGGUUGUAAACUUCUUUGACAGGGGAAGAUCAUGACGGUACCCUGAAAACAAGCUCCGGCUAACUACGUGCCAGCAGCCGCGGUAAUACGUAGGGAGCGAGCGUUAUCCGGAUUUACUGGGUGUAAAGGGCGCGUAGGCGGGAAGGAAAGUCAGGUGUGAAAACUUGGGGCUCAACCCCAAGCCUGCACUUGAAACUUCCUUUCUUGAGUGAUGGAGAGGCAGAUGGAAUUCCGAGUGUAGCGGUGGAAUGCGUAGAUAUUCGGAGGAACACCGGUGGCGAAGGCGGUCUGCUGGACAUUAACUGACGCUGAGGCGCGAAAGCGUGGGGAGCAAACAGG